GGAAGAGCGAGAGGUGCUAGUAAUUUUUGGGUGGACGCCAACAAGGCAAUGAUUCAAACCUGUCCCAAAAUUUGGACUUUGGGGAUCAUCAGACAUAAAACCAAGUAUGGGUGGCGGCCGUGGAGGAAUGGGCGGUGGUAACUUCGGAGGACGAGGCGGCGGUAUGGGUCGUGGCGGCAUGGGCGGUGGAGGUAUGGGCGGCGGUGGAGGUAUGGGAGGUGGCGGAGGUAUGGGAGGCGGUGGCAUGGGUGGAAACAUGGGUGGUGGUAUGGGAGGAGGAAUGGGUGGUGGAAAUAUGAAUCAAGGAGGUUUUGGUGGAAACCAAGGUGGUGGAUUUGGUGACAACAUGGGAUUUAUGGAUGAUAACAUGGGAGGUAUGGGAAAUCAGGGAAUGAUGUUUGGAAAUGAGCCAACAACCAGUACCCAGGUCACAAUACCAAAGGAUAUGGCUGGAGCUAUCAUAGGUAAAGGAGGUUCCCGAAUCAUGGAGAUCCGUCACCAGUCAGAGGCCCAGAUUGUCAUUGACGAGGCCCUGCCCGGAUCUAAUGACAGAAUCAUCACAAUAACUGGUACAGAGGAACAAAUACAGAAUGCACAAUAUCUCUUACAAAUGAGUGCUCGGGAGCUUCAAGCUGGGGCCAGGGCCAAAAACCAUUAGUUUAGGGGGUGUGAAGAAGAUAGCAGCUAACAAGUUUUAACAUGAGAAAUGAACAGAAUGAUGGUGUAACCACAGAAAAGAGUCUGCUUUUGGAAAACUUGCAAGCAUUAUUUCCCCCACAGACAUGUUUGAAAUACUAAAUAGACCUACAAGGAAUCAAACAUGAUGUUACACCGCCAUUGUUCUUCAUUUUUACUUCAUUGUAAAUGUAUCAUUAACUAACUUUGAUCCUGGUUCUUCACCAAUGACACUUGUAUAUAUUAAUCAUGUUGUUCUGUUUUGUGGAAAAUAACCCAGCAUAGCUUCUUUUUUUUUAACAGAAUCAUCAUCCGGUUUUAAUGACAUUGUAUUACAGCUAUAAGCUGUUAGAUUAAACAUUAGGUCAUUGUUGCCAUGGAAACAUGUCCUUGUUACAGGAAUCCCUGAAUUUUAUAUUAGACUCAUACCUGAAUCAUGGAACUCAUAUUUUGUAUUCUUCAUUUUCUUGCUUAAAAAUCAACAUAAUGGACUAAAGGAUCAUUUGUGUAAAUUUUCAAUUCUGUACAGGGUGUGUUAAGAACUCUGGAUUUUUUUUAUACGAGUGUUUUUUUUCUAUCUCCCUCCGGUUUUGUUGACGUCAAAGUUAUAUUAGGGUAAACUUGAUGUAGAUGUUGCCAAGGUAACUGCUGGAUUCUGUGAAUCACCUUUUGCAGGUAAAAUACAAAUUAGCGACUGUAUUUUGAUUAGUGUUAAGACUUUUUUGUCAGUUUUUGUAUAAGGUGAGGAUUAAUUUGAUACAAGGUGUGAAAUUGGUUGACAUGGAAAUAUAUACUCAUUAGCCACCAGCAUAGGUCAUGUGUUGAGUGCAGCAAAAUGUAUUAAUCUGUCAUACCAAAUAACAGAAAAACAACCUUGAAAAUUUUCCAUCACAAUUUUUCCUCUGAAAGUCAGUAGGACAUGGGUAGAUAACUUUAAUGUGUGUUGAAAUUUUAGAACAAAUAGAAAAAUGAUACAGAAGUUUAGAACGAAAGAAAAAUACACAAAUAAAAUUUAUGAGAUUAUUUUAUCUGGAAUGUUUUUGGGCCUUUUAUUUUUACUUUUAAUUUCACAUUACAAUAAUGUAUUCAAACAUAGUUACCGUAUAGGCUUGUAGUUGGACUUGUGUUUAAUUUGGAAGACACUGAGAUAUAUUGACGUCCUUUUUUGUUUAUGUAUACCAGUCUUGGGGAUAUUGUUUAGUUCGAACAAAUAUGAAGUAAAAUGCCAAUUCUUUAUUUCAUUUUGUUGUAAAUUUUUCUUAUCUGAAUAAAAUUGUGGAAUACAA